UACGAAGGGGGCUAGCGUUGUUCGGAUUUACUGGGCGUAAAGCGCACGUAGGCGGAUCGUUAAGUCGGGGGUGAAAUCCUGGAGCUCAACUCCAGAACUGCCUUCGAUACUGGCGAUCUUGAGUCCGGAAGAGGUGAGUGGAACUCCUAGUGUAGAGGUGGAAUUCGUAGAUAUUAGGAAGAACACCCGUGGCGAAGGCGGCUUUCUGGGACGGUACUGACGCUGAGACGCGAAAGCGUGGGGAGCGAACAGG
rnacentral:rRNA from 1 species